GGGCCAAUGUAAAGUUAGACUUAACUAUUAUAAUUUAAAAUAAGGUAAAUAAGGGUUAAAAGAUGUUAAAACACAAUAAAUAACUACAUAAACGAACGGAACUUAGUACAUGUCAGAAAUUGUAACGUACUUAAGCUGUGUAAAAAAUUGGUUGGUAACAAAUCUUGGGUGUUCAGACCUGAUUUCCACCAAUUACCUACUUUAGACACCAGUUGGUUCUCUGAAACAUAACAGUGCAACAUGGUUGAUGCAGAUGAUAACUAGAUUUUUUUAUGUACUAUAUAUAAAAGCUCAUCCUCUCUGUGGCCCAUUAAUGCUUUUUCACUAUUUCAAAUACUAUCUCCAUUUUUUCCAGUAAGUUCACUCACACUGGUCCUUUUUUAAGUUUCAAGAUAAUGGACAGAAAAAAUGAUGCAUUGUAAUGCUUCUUUGGACCACUGGAUCAGCUGACAUCUUACAUCCAAUGAUAAUCACGGGUAGACAGAUUAUUGAUUCCAGCAGAUCAUCAGGCUGAUAUUUGGCUGAUAAUAUUCAUUUAUUUUAUUGAGCUACUCUGGCUUUGUUGCUGGUGUUUCUCCCCCUCUGGGUCUGUUUUUAUUCUCCACCUGUCCUCACAGAUAUUUCACCCACUGCACCAUGACUGUCUAGAUAUCAGAUGACUGUGUGACAUAAUCUACAGUUACAUGAUACUUGUUAACUGUUAACUUAUGUGCGUGAUGUUGCAAGUUUCAGUUUUGAUUAACCAUUUGCAUUUUGAGAAAGUUUUGUGUUUGAGUUUGUAAAUUUUUUCACGGAAAGUUUCUCAUUUAUACUGUCAGUGUCGAACAUUCCCAAUUAUUGGUUAUUGGUCUUAUGAGGUGCUCAUAAUCUGUCGAUUUCAGCCCUAAAAACUAACCCACAAAUAAACUUAAUUUUGCAACCAGAAUGCAUUUAGAGCAUAACUGGAAAAAGCUAAUUCAGGCAACCUCAAAGCAAGUUGACUAGAGUGCUUAAGCGGUGACUCAAACUUCUGCGACCUCUAGAAACACCUUGAGAACGGCGCCUCUCUCUGCUGAAGCAGCACUUAUCCUGAUAGUUACCAGAGGUGGGAGGUUGAGGGUCUAUUUUGACGUUGAAUGCUAAAACCGACCCUUUUAAAGAAUUGAUUCCGUCGUGUCAAAAAGUUUGAGUAUUCUGCUAAAUUGUGCUCGAACUCGUUUUUUGAAUGUGACACUCGGCCUCUCAGAGACGGCUCAGAGGCGCUGCAUUGAUUCUGGACAGCUACCAUGUGAGAGUGACAAGGCAGUUUGAAGGCCAGUCUGUUGACUCGCUCUUUGUGAAGCAGCUGCUGGAGGAGAGGCAGGCAGUUAUUCAGGGUUAAUGGUUGUCCAUGCCCUCUCUCUGGUUAGACAUUCACAUGGCAACACCUCAACUGUCCACGGUUCAAACAGUAGUGCAGUGUAUUAGUCACUCAGCGGUGGCCUGUUGUCCUCUCAUAGUGAAGAUUCCUGACUCUCAGAAGGAGCAGUUAAACUACUGCCGUGCCUCUGUCGCUGUGGUGCAGAUUCCUGCAGCCAUAAAGUAGGUAAGUAGAGGAUUCAAUAUGGAUUACAACAGUUUAACAUUUGGAGACGUCAAGAGAAGAUGAAGUCGAUACCUUAGCUCGAGUGGAUGCAUCGUGUUUAGGGGGUUAUUUCAGAGUCCUGUAAGGAUCCGGCCUGGCCUGCUGCCCGAGCAGGAGAGCAGUAAUAAACGAUACACAAAAGACUGAAGCGAAGACGUGGUGUCUUUAUCUUAUUCUAUUACAACUACACACAGUAAGAGACACAUACACAGCAGAGUUAGACGGGGGACUGUGUGCUCUUUCGCCUCAGGCCUUGUCCUUUCACAGCUCUGCCGCCUCCUCAUUUGUCAGCCAGCAUUCAAGAAGGAAAACAAGUUAGCUCUUCCCAACAUAUUUAUUCAACUCCUCAUCUGUUUAUAUGCUGGAUGGAGAAGAAAAGCCUGAUGCAGCAUUGACUGAUGGGAAAAUACUUAAAGUUUAUAAUUGCAGGUAGUUUUUGGAACAUUUUCCACCAGUUUGUAGCUUUGAAUAUUAGAUGCAUUAAAACUGAUUUGCACUCUCCUUCUCUCUUUUUUUUUUUUUUUUGACUUCCAACCAAGAUUCCUGUCUUCGCAGAAAGCAAAUGGACAAACGCCAGAUGUGCAUGUCAGAAAGAAUUGGCUGAACCAAAACAUGAUUGUGUUCAGCGUUAUGCGUGAACGUGCUAAAAUGAGAACAGGCUCAUAUUUCUGUGAACUAAACAGCUCAAUUUGCACAAAGAGUUAGUGUGGUUCACUUAUGAGACAAUGAACAAGCGUGCACAUUCUGCAUGGAUCAGGGAGGUGUCGAAACUUAUCAGGCAAUGUGUUUUUCUGUGUUCGGCACGGCUCAUACCGUCAGCAGUUUAGAUGUAGUUAGUGGUGUUGAUGAAGUCAGCUCUUUUGAACAUUUGGAGGAGUUUUAUGGACGAAUCAGGACAGAUUCCAGCGGGCAAAAGCCUCUACAGUAUUAGAGAGAUGUCGAUUUUUUUUAUUAUGUAUUUGUGUGCAGAGUAAGAUCAGCCAACAAAUUUAAGUUAUGUUUGUUUUUAAGUUUUUAAAGCUGCAUAUUUUUCCCUCUGAUUGUUAAAACACUCAAAUGUGAAUUUCUUUGCUUUUAAACUGAAGGUCCGUCUUGCAGAAUGUAGUAAUUUAUCAAUGAAUGAAGGUAAAGGGCUGAAGCACAGGAGGUUCGGCUGGUAAAUAAGGCUACGUUCAUACUGCAGGUUAUGAUGCACAAUUCGGAUUUUUUGUUAAAUCUGAUCUUUUUGUGCGGUCGUUCACAUUACAACAACAGCAUGCGGCAUUUAAUGUGAACAGAAUGCAUCCGUGAAGUGACCCGCAUGCGUACAAAGCACAAAUUGCUUUCUGCGCCUGUUUGUGUUGUCGAACAACGGUGAUGUUUGUCACAUACUGAUGACGUAUACUGUAGGUCGGAUUAACGCGACCUGAGCGUCCACACUGCAGUCACAUCGGAUACAUAUCCGAUUUAUAUCCACAUACAAAAGAGGCCUGGGUCGGAUUUGAAAAAAUAAGAAUUGCACUGUUUACAUGUACAUGAAAAAAAUCAGAUAUGGUUAAAAAAUCAGAAUUGACCUGCAGUGCUGGAUGUUUCUGGAUGAUCUACAUGUUCUAACACACAAACAUACCUCUGUAAAUGUCUUUUAACAGCAGGUACUGUCAGACAUUUGGAUAAAUAAACCUCAGUGUUGAUUGUUGUCACAUGGCUGCAAAAGAAAGCUUUAAUUACUUCAUGUUUUAGCAUUUACAUCUUUAAGUCCUGGAUUUAACAUCUCAAGAACAUUGUCUGCAGUACAUUUCUUUUUAGAAAGAUGCAACCAUAAUAGUUGUUCAUCUUGCUGUGUUACUUGUGGAGUGGUGUUCAAUAGUUUCCUUAUCUUAAAAACCUCUUAACUCAUGACAGUGUGACACAACUGGAUGGAUAAACCUUUAUCAAAGUGUUUGUGGUAUCCGUUGCAUUCUCUGACAUGGAGUGACAAAGGAUCUGUGCAUCAUUGGUUUAGCUUAAUCUUGUCUUCACAUUAGUUAAUAAUCUUGAUUUGAAGUCAGACUUGACUCGUGUUAACUGAAGGCUGUCAGGCGUGUCGGUCACGCUGAUUAUCCUUUAAAGAGCUCCAGCCUGAGCCUGCCGUGUUUACUGAUCUGCCCAACCCCCAACAUUGCCACUAAUUCCUGAGUCCGUUAUAAUCAAAUCAAGUCCUUAGCACUAUAAGCUGACCUCGAGUCUGGCUUGUUUAUUUCAAAAGAUUUAGUGAAUAACGUUUAAGACCUUCCCAGGAAAAGCCAUUAAGGUGCCAAGGAUGUGACCAUCAAACAAAAAUGGUACUCUGUCAUCUCUGGAGCCUGAUGAGGGAAUAAAGUAAAUAUGUAGGAGGCGGAAAUCUCAGAGUCAGACUUCGUGUUUUCCUCAUGUAGUAGUUUACCCCUGAGCUCAUAAAGUAUGGCAGUCUGCUUACAGAUGACUGUUGAGAACACUGCCCCGUUUUCAAUAACUCUGGGUUGACUCAUCAGGUCGAUUGCCAACUGUGUGGGACUAAUGAGUGUAAUCUCCUCUGUCAGGUUAAGUAAAGCCAGAUAACCCAAAGAAAACAGUUUCUGAGGUCACAGAAGGGUUUAAUUUAUGCGAACAUCUUUGCUUGUCUUGAUCUGCACUUAAAAACAAAACAUUUUCUUGCUUGUGACUUCUGGGUUAACCGCCAUUAAGUCAACUAAAGGGUUCAGUUUUGCUAUCCUUGCUAGCUCGCACCAGAAUUCCUCAUAGACUGAACUUAAAACUGAUAUUUUUAUAUUUUAUAUGUCAGUACUAUGGCUGACAAAAGUAUGAUCACCAAAUGUACAAUGCUGCUGACUCCUUGUCUGUGCCUUUGUGAGGGAUGUGUCUUCUUAAACUCUUGAACCUUUGUCUCUUUUGUGUUGAGAUGUCAGACUCUUUCCACUGAACAGAGCUCUGGUCUCCAUAUUUUGACAGCAAAGUUAGACGGAAAGUCAAACCCAGUCAUUUAGUCUGCAACAUCUUUGCAGCUAUUCCUAAUUUAUUAACACCAGCUCGGAGUAUCUGGCUGUGGAAGGGUUUGUAGUUGUCAACACAAAAUUCAACAAGAAGCACUUUGCGCUCCUUCUUCUCCUCUGGCACUUGUGCUUUUGAAUAAUUCAGUGUGUUGGUUAAUGGUGAAGUUCUCUUCACUUUCUCUCUUGUUGGCUCUUACCAGACUUUGAACCAUGGACUGAAAAUACUUUUAAUUCAAGUCAGGAGGAUGCUGAAACUGGGGGAGUCUUUUUAGUUAACAGAUUGAGCCCAUGUGACAUCUGCAGCUCAUUCAAAGUGAAACACUUUUCUGUUGGUCAUGUCCUGAUUUCUUGCAAGAUUUAUUUAUUUAAGAAUAAGUAAUGGCCAAAUAACCAAGAAGUUGUUUUUCCAGCUAUAAACAAUUUCUGUUUAAGUUCUGAACCAUGACUGUUCACACUUUAUUAUCAUGUUAUAUAUAUAUAUUAUGUUUGUAGGGCAGGUGCCCCCUCUUACAGUACACAUUUCACUAGUCAUAGGAUUGAUU